rnacentral:rRNA from 1 species
AACUACGAGCCCCAGCUUAAAACCCAAAGGACUUGACGGUGUCCCACCCCACUAGAGGAGCCUGUUCUAUAACCGAUAAUCCACGCUAUACCCAACCAUUCCUUGCCUUUCAGCCUGUAUACCUCCGUCGCAAGCUUGCCGUGUGAAUGCAUAACAACAAGCCCAAUGGCCAAACGCCAGUACGUCAGGUCAAGGUGCAGCUCAUGAAAUGGAAGCCAAUGGGCUACAAUUUCUACCCUAGAAUAAACGAAAUACUACAUGAAACUAAGUCAUGAAGGCGGAUUUAGCAGUAAAUGGGGAACAGAGAGCCCCAUUUAACCCGGCCCUGGGACGCGUACAAACCGCCCGUCACCCU